AGCGACUGCGCGGACGGGUUCCUGAGUGGAACAUGGCGACUUGCGCCGAAAUCCUGCGGAGCGAGUUCCCCGAAAUUGACGGACAAGUCUUCGACUACGUGACCGGCGUCUUGCACAGCGGCAGCGCGGACUUCGAGUCUGUGGAUGACCUAGUGGAAGCUGUAGGGGAACUAUUGCAAGAGGUGUCCGGGGACAGCAAGGAUGACGCGGGCAUCAGGGCCGUGUGCCAGCGCAUGUACAACACUCUGCGUCUGUAUGUGCCAGGGAGUAGGGGUUGAUGGGGGCGAAGGGACGGCGAACGGUCCGGAGACAAGACGUGGGGGAAGAAGAUCUGAUGGCCAUAGAGCUUUUCCCUCAACUCCUAACUCUGCGCUUUCUAUCCCUACCCACAUAGGGCUGAGCCACAAAGCCAGGGAAAUAGCCAGGUGCUACUGGACGCCCCUAUCCAGUUGUCAAAGAUAACGGAGAACUACGACUGUGGAACCAAACUUCCAGGACUGCUAAAGAGGGAACAGUCCUCGGUGAGGAGGAGGAAGCAAGGGAGGGGACUGUAUGUGAUGGGGUUGGGAGUUGACUGUCUAAUUGCAGUAUCUUUUUGGGGGAUUUCUGACUAUGUCUUUUCCUAAGCCUUUGAGUCUGUUCAUCAUGGGUAAGUUAAGAGGGUUUACUCGAGAUGUUCUCUCUUGGGGUUCCUUUCUGAGCCUACACCCUAGAGUGAAGUCGAUGUGUUUGGACCCUUAGACAGUGAAUGCAAAGAAGUUAGAGAAGGCCGAGGCUCGACUUAAGGCAAAGCAGGAGAAGCGCUCAGAGAAGGACACGCUCAAGACCAGCAACCCUCUAGUCUUAGAAGAGGCAUCAGCCAGCCAGGCAGGCAGCAGAAAGGAGAGUCGGUUGGAAUCAUCUGGCAAGAACAAAUCCUAUGAUGUGCGAAUUGAGAACUUUGAUGUGUCUUUUGGCGAUAGAGUACUGCUGGCUGGAGCGGAUGUGAACCUGGCAUGGGGCCGCCGUUAUGGGCUGGUGGGGCGGAAUGGGUUGGGGAAGACAACGUUACUGAAGAUGCUGGCCACCCGGAGUCUGCGGGUUCCAGCCCACAUUUCCCUGCUGCAUGUUGAGCAAGAGGUUGCUGGAGAUGACACUCCUGCCCUGCAGAGUGUGCUGGAGAGUGACAGUGUGCGAGAGGAUUUGCUACGGCGGGAGCGGGAGCUCAGUGCCCAUAUUGCUGCUGGCAGCCACAAGGGUGGAGGGCUCUGAAGCUGCAGAGCUGGCAGAAAUCUAUGCCAAACUGGAGGAGAUUGAGGCUGACAAGGCACCUGCCAGGGCAUCAGUCAUUCUCGCUGGGCUUGGCUUUACCCCUAAAAUGCAGCAGCAGCCCACCCGGGAGUUCUCAGGUGGCUGGAGGAUGAGGCUGGCCCUGGCCCGGGCCCUCUUUGCUAGGCCGGAUCUUCUGCUGUUAGAUGAACCUACAAACAUGCUGGAUGUCAGGGCCAUCCUGUGGCUGGAGAAUUACCUGCAGACGUGGCCCUCCACAAUCCUAGUCGUCUCCCACGACCGCAACUUCCUGAAUGCCAUCGCCACAGACAUCAUCCACCUGCACAGCCAGCGGCUAGAUGGUUACCGGGGAGACUUUGAGACCUUCAUCAAGAGUAAGCAGGAGCGGCUGCUCAACCAGCAGCGUGAAUAUGAGGCGCAGCAGCAGUAUCGCCAGCACAUCCAGGUUUUCAUUGACCGGUUUCGCUACAAUGCCAACAGGGCCUCUCAAGUGCAGAGUAAACUCAAGAUGCUGGAGAAGCUGCCUGAGCUGAAGCCUGUGGACAAGGAAUCAGAGGUCGUAAUGAAGUAAGUGCUGGGCCACUGGGACUGGUGGGGAAUUGCUUGCUUCCAGCUGCCCCCACAUCCUCACCCCUACCUCCUGCAGGUUCCCUGAUGGGUUUGAGAAGUUCUCGCCGCCAAUUCUGCAGCUAGAUGAGGUGGAUUUCUACUAUGAUCCGAAGCACGUCAUCUUCAGUCGCCUCUCUGUGUCUGCUGAUCUCGAGUCUCGCAUCUGUGUGGUUGGAGAGAAUGGGGCUGGGAAGUCUACCAUGCUGAAGCUGCUUUUGGGGGACCUGGCACCUGUUCGGGGCAUCAGACACGCUCACAGGAAUCUGAAGAUUGGCUAUUUCAGCCAGCACCAUGUGGAGCAGCUGGACCUAAACGUCAGUGCUGUGGAACUGCUGGCGCGCAAGUUUCCUGGGCGGCCUGAGGAGGAGUACCGUCACCAGCUGGGUCGGUAUGGCAUCUCCGGAGAACUGGCCAUGCGUCCUGUUGCCAGCUUGUCUGGGGGCCAGAAGAGCCGAGUGGCCUUUGCUCAGAUGACUAUGCCCUGCCCCAACUUCUACAUUCUGGAUGAACCCACAAACCACCUGGACAUGGAGACCAUCGAGGCUCUGGGCCGUGCCCUCAACAAUUUCAGGGGUGGUGUGAUUCUGGUGUCCCACGAUGAGCGCUUUAUCAGGCUGGUGUGCCGGGAGUUGUGGGUGUGCGAAGGAGGCGGCGUCACCCGCGUGGAAGGAGGAUUUGACCAGUACCGCGCCCUCCUCCAGGAACAGUUCCGCCGCGAAGGCUUCCUCUAGGGCCACCAGGCUGAGGACUCGCCCAGGACAUGGACUGGUCUCUCAGACCCCUGGGCCACCACGUAGGCCACCACUCCAGGCCGUGGACUUCCCCCAACUUGGGGACAGCCUUAUUCCCAAAUGUCUCUCUCCUUUUGACUGGAGCAUCUUCUGCACAACCUUGGGAGCCCCAUCCAAGGGUUGGUGAGGACUGGUCUCCCGGGGGCGGGGGUCUGGGGGGUACCCUCUGGGGUUAUAGAUUCCCCCACUGCCCCAGCCCUGACUGGACCCCAAGUGGCUGCUAUGUAAAUUAAAUCUCUCCCCGCGUCUCCUUUG
rnacentral:sRNA from 1 species